GGGGGUGGGGGUCGCACGCGCAUGUCCCAUACUUUCAUCUUAUGUUCAGCAUAUUUGCAAAGAGGUGUUGUACCUGCGGGGCAAGAGGAGGGGGUAGCUCGCACGAGUCCAUCAAUGAGAAGAAUUUCCACAUGUUUUUCAACGUACGAUUGAAUCGUUCUGUUUGCGUUGCGAGUCAAGGGUAAGGGGGAAGGUCGGAGGGUUUCUUGGUACUGAGCGUCAACCCAACUCAGCAAGCAUAAUCAUCACAAAUAUAUUUGUGAUCGGUACCUCUAAUAUUUCGGAUCCUUGGAAAAAUUGGACGUUCAUAGCGUUGACCAUAGCCGAAUGAACAAAUGCGCUUUGAUACUUUCAACGGAAGACGAUAAAUGGCCGAGGUUCAAGAAUUACGCGUAUGAGGAACAAGCGCCAUUCGUUAUCUGCUCCGAUUUGGAAUGCAUGCUGGAAAAACAGGAUGAUCAAGGUCAUGGAGCUUGUCGCAGAUAUCAACAUCACCGCGCCUUCAGCAUAAAAGCUAUUACCUCAAUUGUCGGUACGACACUUCCUUGUACGAGUAUCAGUUUUAUCGCGACGAAGAUGAUUGUACCGCAUGGUUCGCGACAAAGUUGUACGAGUUAAACCGUAAACUCGAGCAGUCUCGAGAAAGAAAAAAAUGCUUGUACAUUUGAACAAGUGGACGUAUAUCGAGGUCGACAUAAAUCGAUCUCUGAGGGAUUUACACGAGGAGAUGAAUUUCCAGACUUUCCCUUUACUAACAAAAUCAAGGUGGAGGAAAAUAUUUAUAAACUAUGAACACAAUGAAAAUCAGCGAUCUUUACAAAGAGUGUUCGAAGAAAUAAACUUAUUAAACUUUAUUACGAAAAUGCAAUUCGUCAAACAGUGAAGAAGAGCUUUGAAAAAAUACAGAACUGAGAAUGAAGACGAGGAACGAGGAAUAUAUUUGAGGGUAUUCACUGUCACUUGCACUGUUCUGAUUGUUUUGUUUUAUAAGUAUGAAAAAUCGAAUUAGUGCACUCCAUAUGGCUCCGGCUAGAUGUAGGCUUCAGUCAUAUAGUUUGUGUAGAGCUAUUCCGUUGACCACUGUGUUUAUUAUAGUUUUUAUUAUCUUUAUCAAAACGUAGGUACCAAUAACAACCGCACUAAUAGACCCGAAUGUCAUCAAGCCGGACCACAAUCUACCUAGCGGUUGAUUUUGCAAUUUGUUUUAAUGAUUGUUCAUCGAGCAGAUUUAGUAAACAUAUCGAGUUCGUUGCGAAUUGUCGGCCCGAGACUCCUUGUGCCAAUAGGUUGAUAAUAGAGAUCCUUUCGAUUGGGAAGAGGAUGUGUUCGUCGAGUUUUUGGAUAUCAUCCUGGGAGUAUAUUCCUCCGAGAUUUGCUGGAUUUGCGCAUUUCCAUGAUGACUUUGUUAUAGUCUGAAGUGGGGGUGAAGCCCCUAUGGAGGGGCUCUCCAUAGGUUUCGGCAGAAUUCGGUACCAUGUACCGUGGAGUUUGUAUGUGCUGUUGGUCUUAGUUCGCUGCAUUCUCUUCUGGUACCUGUUUUUAUUAACACUAUACCUAUCGCGGUCAAAGUGACCGCUCUCUUAUUUUGCAAUUCUGCAAAGUUCCGAGACU